CGGAGUUAGUAUACAUCGUAUGUCUGAAACUUUGCUGCAAAGACUGAAAUCUUAGUUUGUGUUUGCAGGUGCAUAUUCAAUCUUGGCAUCGAUCUACUAUAUACUAUACUAUACCCGAACAGAUGAUGCAUUGCCAAGACCCUGAAAGUUGGAUUAAUCCAUGUCAAAUCUGAGUGACCAACAAGAUGUUCUUCGCAUGCACGUAUGGGAACAUUCUAGAAGCCCUGUAUACGUGUGAAUGUUCACGGUACCAAGUAGUGCGCUAAUUUGCUAGAAUGUACAUGUUGGCCUGGAUCAGAGGUUCAAAUCUGUAUAAUAUUGCCAUAAGUUGCCCCAAACUUUUCAACGAUUAUUCUUUGGGAUAAAGAAUUAAACCUUUCUUGACAAGCGACAGAAGGCCAGUUUUAGAGUAAGUUCUCAUAACUGUAACUCUCAUACGGUUGAGUUACGACGUCAGGAACCAAUUACAGUCCAUAAGAAUAUAGGACCACUUAAGGCCUGAUUAGAAGAAGGUUUCUAUUUGCCG
rnacentral:lncRNA from 1 species